rnacentral:rRNA from 1 species
GUACGGCCGCAAGGUUAAAACUCAAAUGAAUUGACGGGGGCCCGCACAAGCGGUGGAGCAUGUGGUUUAAUUCGAUGCAACGCGAAGAACCUUACCUGGUCUUGACAUCCACGGAAGUUUUCAGAGAUGAGAAUGUGCCUUCGGGAACCGUGAGACAGGUGCUGCAUGGCUGUCGUCAGCUCGUGUUGUGAAAUGUUGGGUUAAGUCCCGCAACGAGCGCAACCCUUAUCCUUUGUUGCCAGCGGUCCGGCCGGGAACUCAAAGGAGACUGCCAGUGAUAAACUGGAGGAAGGUGGGGAUGACGUCAAGUCAUCAUGGCCCUUACGACCAGGGCUACACACGUGCUACAAUGGCGCAUACAAAGAGAAGCGACCUCGCGAGAGCAAGCGGACCUCAUAAAGUGCGUCGUAGUCCGGAUUGGAGUCUGCAACUCGACUCCAUGAAGUCGGAAUCGCUAGUAAUCGUGGAUCAGAAUGCCACGGUGAAUACGUUCCCGGGCCUUGUACACACCGCCCGUCACACCA